CUCUUGGCUAUCCAUAUCAAAAGACCAAACUACGAUCUAUCUUGGAGAAAAUAACUACAUCAACUAUGAAUUUUGCUGGUGCUCUCCGCUUUUCUUAUAUUGUUGGGAGAACAAGCUUCAGAAAGAAGCUAUCAUCGAAUUGAUUUAGGUUUAUCAGGAUGUCGUUGAUGAAACUCCUGUACCUUUUGUGGCGCAUUCG
rnacentral:lncRNA from 1 species